rnacentral:tRNA from 1 species
UCUGAUAUACGCUCAGUGGUAGAGCGUCCGGCUCUCCCCCGGAAGGACACAGGUUCGAGCCCUGUUAUCAGAU